ACCUGCUUCUUGGUCCCA
rnacentral:snRNA from 1 species